rnacentral:rRNA from 1 species
CCUACGGAGGGCUGCAGUGGGGAAUAUUGGACAAUGGGGGGAACCCUGAUCCAGCCAUGCCGCGUGUGUGAAGAAGGCCCUCGGGUUGUAAAGCACUUUCAGUGAGGAAGAACGCCUGGUGGUUAAUACCCAUCAGGAAAGACAUCACUCACAGAAGAAGCACCGGCUAACUCCGUGCCAGCAGCCGCGGUAAUACGGAGGGUGCGAGCGUUAAUCGGAAUUACUGGGCGUAAAGCGCGCGUAGGUGGCUUGAUAAGCCGGUUGUGAAAGCCCCGGGCUCAACCUGGGAACGGCAUCCGGAACUGUCAAGCUAGAGUGCAGGAGAGGAAGGUAGAAUUCCCGGUGUAGCGGUGAAAUGCGUAGAGAUCGGGAGGAAUACCAGUGGCGAAGGCGGCCUUCUGGACUGACACUGACACUGAGGUGCGAAAGCGUGGGUAGCAAACAGGAUUAGAUACCCCUGUAGUC